rnacentral:rRNA from 1 species
UACGUAGGGGGCAAGCGUUGUCCGGAUUUAUUGGGCGUAAAGAGCGUGUAGGCGGCUGGGUAGGUCCGUUGUGAAAACUCGAGGCUCAACCUCGAGACGCCGAUGGAAACCCUCCAGCUAGAGUCCGGAAGAGGAGAGUGGAAUUCCUGGUGUAGCGGUGAAAUGCGCAGAUAUCAGGAGGAACACCGGUGGCGAAGGCGGGUCUCUGGGCCGAUACUGACGCUGAGAAGCGAAAGCGUGGGGAGCGAACAGG